rnacentral:lncRNA from 1 species
CGGGGCCUAGGGUGAAGUGGCUCCUCCUGACAGGAGUGUGGGGAAGCGCAAAGCUGCUCACAUCAUGGCAGCUAGGAAGCAGACAGAAAGGAGCAGGAAGGGGCGGAGCUCAGGUCCCUUCAAGGCCAUACCCCAAUGACCUAACUCCCUUUCACUAGGCCCUGCCCUUAAAGGUCUCACCACUUCUCAAUUGCACUGCAGGCUGGGGACUGAGCCUUCAACACUUGGGCUUUGGGGGAUAUUUAACAUCCAAACUACAGCAAUAUGCAAAGUUAAUGUUUAGUUACCAUUUUACUCUCUAGUUUCUUGUCUUGAUUAAAGCCACCUUACUGUUCCCAGUGUUUGUUUUUAAGGACCUCAAAACUUUUGGGGAUGUUUAAAGAAUCAUCACAUAAUGUAAGACUUAAUAAAAUAGAGAAGUUAAAGAGUUUUUCCACUAUAGCAAUGCCCUGAUCUACUUUAGCUGUGACACCAAGCAAAGUGCCAGCACAAAUCACAGCAUCAGAAACACUCUCUGUACAGCUCUAAAUAAAACAGUGCUGGGCUGGAGCAAAAUAAUCCUUUUCCGCUUUAUUAGCCUUCCUUCCAAAUUAAUAAACCCUUGGACCAAUCCUUCUAGGGGGGUCUUUCCCUAAAAGAUCAGUGGGUGGCCAAAUGGGUUGUGGAGUUUCUUGAACCUCAUGAAACAACCACAAAGAGCACGUUCAUUCUGAAACAAAACAUGGAAGAAAGCAAUGGGAUCUCCUGAGCUCUGACCCUCAGGCCCUUCUGCAGCACAGGGGCUCAUUCCCGCUGUCCAGCUCAGAACGGUGGACUUUAAUGUGGGCCCAGAGGGGGUCAGUAGCAGUGAAGGGUAUCACAGCCCCAGGCCAGCGAAGAUGGUCCUGCUCACUUCAGUUUCACAGCCAACUGUCCCACCCAGGUGCGAUGCCUGGCCUCCAGGGCCCAGCCUGGCCGGGGGAGGCGAGCGCUGAGUGGGUGCUAUCAAACCAAGUCCACCCUCCAGAGGUGACCAGCACCUGGGAGUUCCUGUCCGAAAUGUUAGUGGAUGGAGGGUCCCGUGGGGCUUCUUUCCAGGUUCUUGGUGACCUGAACAAGACACUCAGAAAAGGCAGCAAGAGUGUACAUUUAUUGAAGGCAGAAAAAUACACUCACAGCAGCCUUCGGGAGGGGGAAAGGUCUUUUGCAUCUGGAAUUCCUGCAUUAUCUCUCUCUCUUCAUGUAAAGAAGGCAUUAGAAUAGUCGUCCUAUCAAACACUCCCUGGGAAUGAACUGUCCUAUCCCAAAAUGCCUCUGGUUUUUGCCUUAUGUAAAUGAAGGAUCAGGAGCAGAGUCUUGAUUGGCUGUGCCCACAUGCAAAUGAAGGAUUGCGAAGAGCAUCUUCUGACUGGUCCUGUGAACAGCAGCAGAUUCAAAUGAGGGAUUGAAAAUAGCAAGAUUCUGAUUGGUCCAAAACAGCAUCUGAUUGGCUCUGUGCACUGGGUGAUAGUGUCAUUCACUGUACUGGGAAUGCCCCUCCCCCUGGACGUGUCCCUGCCCUACUGCCCUGUCCUAACCUUUAUCCACUCAGCUCUGCGGGCCCAGUGUGCCUGGCCACCAGGCUGUGGUCAUCUCGCCUGGUGACCACACUUCUAGGCUGGUGUGGGUUUUUAUCCUUUUCCCAUUAUUCUUAGGAUUAAGCAAAGGAGACAGAGGACAGAAAGGUUAUUUUCCUCAGAAGUGAGGCACAAAGGGUCAGAAUGCAUCCAGGUUUUCUGCCUUAGGACGGAAGGUGGCCAGGAAUGUCCCGCAGGCUUGGGACAUCCGGUGCCUCGGGAGCGGUUUGUUCAGAUCCUCGGUUUUCUGACACCAUCUGUCCACGGCCUCCUUGUCUACCCCACUCCUUCCAGGGCAGGCAUGGCUGGGAUCAGUAAUAUUUGCUGAAAGCAGAGGAUUUAUUGCUCUUUUGACCUAAUCCACCUGCAAUACAUAGGUCAUAUAACCCAUUUAGUGGUCUAUAAAUAAUGUUUAAUGCAACUUCCUUAAAAAAAAAUUUGACAAAUGAACUCAUAAAACCAUAACCUGAAGUGACGGCCCUUUCUCCUGUCAGCCCCAUGUUUCCUGCCCACCUGGGGUUGCUGGGUUUGAAACAGUGUCCCACAUACUCCCACCCACCAAAUUUACAAGAAAAACGUCACUUCCCAGGUAAAGGCACAACGCCGUGAAUUAUACACUUACAAAAACGUCUUAGAAAUGCAUGUUCCUUGGGAUUAUUGUUAGGGUAUUAAACAAAAGAAAGUCCCAAACUGGGUGUGGUGGCACACACCCACAAUCCCAGCCUUCUGGGAGGCUGAGGCAGGAGGAUCACAAAUUCAAGGCUAGCCUGAGUAAUGCAGAGACUUGGAAAGACCCUGUCUCACAAUAAAAAAGGGGGUGGAGAGGGGGGAUGUAGCUCAGUGCCUAGGCCCUGGGUCCAAUCCCCCAUCCUGCACACAACAAACACCACCAAACCCGCAGACCGUGCUCUGCACCCACGGCCCAGGGCUAUGUGGAUCUGGGGGUGGUUGGUGGUUCCAGAGGUGAGGGCGGGGUCUGCCCCACCGCACCUGACCCUUCCCUGGGACACUCUGCGCCCGGCCCUGCCUGCUAUCUGCACAAAGGCCUCCCGGGCGUCCUGGGCCGGGCCUGCGCACUGUCCCUGCCCACAGCACAGCUGAGGCUGCUCUCCCUGUGCUCUCAGGCGAAGGCCACCAUGCCACGGGGUAAAAGCCAGACACACGCCCAGGCCGCGUGGCCCCAGCUGCCUCGAAGACUCAGACGGGGGUCCUUGAGCUUCCCGCUGCCCGGGCCCUGUGCCCGGCUCGGCUCCCACCCUAUAUGGGCUCUGUCCACACCCAACUGCAGCUCUCAGCUCAGUGCCAGGGACCCUGCCGCUUCCUCCCCCAGCCCAAGGACACUCAAGACCCCAGGACAGGGCCCCGACUGCCUGGCCACCUUACUUGAAGGUUUUUAUUGAUCGGUGGGCUGAUUGCGGUUUUCCAAGGUAGGAGCUUGCUGCGGAGUCCGUGCCCGCGAGCCACUGUCAGAGGCAGCUGGAGCCAGGGUUCAGGGUGGCUGCUCCGCAGCUCCCUGUUGGCAUGGGCCGUGCAUGAUUCGUGGGUUCUGUUUUCAAAGUGCAAUGAGAAAUCCGAGAGAGUCUAACAGGCCUGCUAGUAUGAGCGCCUAACGGGCGCCAUCCUUCCACUGUUCUCUCAGAGCCAUGGCUGCCCUUCCUCAGGCAUGGGAUGUUCAAGAGCGCAGGAAGAGCGCCCCCCAGCAGCUGGCAACGGGACACCGCCAGGCCUGGUGGGCCUGCAGCCAGCGCGGGUUGCGACACAUUAGGGGUGGCCGCUGUGUACAGGCCCUGAGUUGUCCUCCCAGCCAGCAAAAGCCGACCAAAUCCCUGCCAUGCAGACCUUUGUGGGGUUUGCUGAACGCAGUGAGCACCUUCCGUGCGUUGCAGGGUUUGACACUGCGGUGUGACAACGGCCUUACCAGUUUGCGGCCACAACCAUUCGAUGGCGUGUUGGGGCCCGCUGUGCACCCUCACGGUACUGGGUUCUAAGAGACACAAGAGUUCAGGGGUUGUGAGCGUCCGCUCCCUGGAGUGUGGACCUGUCCGGACUCCACGGGUUCUGUCCAGUGCCUGGCAAAUGGAGUGCAUAACAAAGACUUCUUUAAUAAGGUCUUCAGCAGCCAGGCUGGCUGGGAUGUGGCUCAGUGGAGAGAGCUUGCCUAGUAUGCAGCAGGCUCUGGGUUCGAAUCCCAGCACUGCAGGGGCCAAGAGCAAAGGAAGGAAGGAAACAGAAGCUGCUGGACACAAGUUCAAGGGUCGGGGCCACCCUGAGCCCGUGCCAGAAGCAGCGGCACUUUUACUCCUUCUUUGGUUAGGAAGCAGGCUCGCUUGCCCACUUCCUUCCUGGGACACGGGGUCUCCUUGGGGCUUCACUUGUGCAGAGCUCGGUGGGAGACCCAGCACAAGGCUCACCACUGGGUUCCGAGUUAAGACCCUGGUGGCCAUGGAUUUCUGUGGUUUCUUAGACCAAGCCUAUGUUCUGGGGCCCCGGGGUCUGGGUGCAAAGCCAAACAUAGAGAAGAAAAUCACUCGCUCCUUCCCCGGAUCCCCGCCUGUGGCUGUGGCGAGGGCCCUGGAGCCAGCAGAGGCCAUGUCGGUGACACCCGGCCGGGAGCCCUCUCAGGGACCAUGCAGGGCCCAGGAGGAACUGGGCGUGGUGCUGCAUGGGGAAGUCCCCACCAGCGAGGGCACGUAGGCCUCAGGCAGCCCCCUCUGCACACAGACUGCUGCCUGCAUGGGUUGUUUCUGCAUCCAAAGCAACCACAGCGCUGAUUGGAUUGCUCUCCAGACUUGAGGACUGGAUCGACCAGAAGAAUCCAAAAGUUCCUUUGGUAAGAAUAGUAUCCAUUCAGGGCUGGGGAUUUAGCUCCGUGGUUCUGCCGCCUGUCUCGCAAGUGCAAGGUCCCAAGUUCAAUCCCCAGUACCAAAAAAAAAAAAAGAAUAGUAUCCAUUCAUUUAACUCAGAACUAGCCAGAUGUGCCCAUAAUUCCAGCUCUCAGGAGGCUGAAGCAGAAGGAUGGCAGCAAGACUGAGGCCAGUCUGGAUAACUUAGCAAGAGCCUGUCUCGAAAACAAGAAGCAAGCAAGCCUCAGCUCCAAAGGGGCAGGCAGUCAGGUUCCUGUCCCAGAAGGGCUCCCAGGCAGAGGGGCAGGGGCAGGCGUGGGGCCGUGCUGAUGCCCAGGUGUUAAACACGGGGCAGAAUUCAGAUAAACCCUCUCCAGCAAAGAGAGAAGGGCAAGCCUGUGCUCCACACACACGGGCCCCAUCUGGGGCACUGGAAGUGGAGCACAAGGACAGAAUAUUCCCGCCACGCCCUCGAAACUAGUGGGCGCGCGAGGAGGAGCCCCAGGCUCACAGGAGACUGUUCGGAAGUUCUCUCGCCUCCUCACCGCAGACUCCACCCUUCCUUCUUGUCCUUUGUUCUGGAGACAGGGUCUCCUUAUGUAACCCCGCCCGGCCGUGACUUCACAGAGACCCCCUUGCUCCAUGCACCUCCCUGCCUUGCCUGCCUUCUACUUUUGCUCCUUAACGACGCCCCUGGAGCUGCCCAACGAGACCUUGGGACCAGCCUCGUUGUAACUGCUGCGCUCCCUGACCGGCCCCUGCUGGGCCUGGGCUUGCGGUGACUCCUCCGACCCGCAGCCGGCUCUGUGCACCCCGGGCUGAGCCUGUGCUUCCUCCCAGACACCUCCGCUGGGACCCCCGGCAUCUGUGCUGCAAGCUGCCGCUGCACGCCCCGCAGCCAGCUCCCCAGCCCAGCCCUGUGAACGCCCGCGGCGACGCUGGCUCCUGUCCGGGAAGCCCACCAGGCUGCUGCCGCCCCGGGGCUGGGGGAGUAGGGUCCCCGUCCUCCUGCGAGGCGCCCGGCUCCUCACUGUCGCAUGCCGUCUCCCCGAACUCUGUCCCGGAAAUCUAGGGGCCGCUACUGCUGACCGGCGCUAGGACAGCGGCAGGAACAAGGACCCCGGGCUUGGGCCAUGGGAGGUGCCCCGGGAGCCCCAAGCCCCCCGGCCCCGCUCUGAGGUCACACAGGGUGCUGCUGGGCUGGGAGAGGAGGACGUGGCCCACCCUCGAGGACCCCGGCUGUCCCCAGGAAUGAGUUGGUCCCCAAGCCACCUGGGGCUGCAGUCGGGGGAGGGGGACAGGUCAUCUGCCGCCACCUCCUUGCUGUCCACGGGAAAACGGGGUCUCCCAACUCCAGCCCUGGAAGGAGAGAGCUGGAAACCACUCCUGCCUGCAGCCCCAGGAGGAGGGACAACUCCUGUUGGUGAUGUUUGGAAGAAGAGACAGAACUCAUCUUGUUUUGUUUUGUUUUUGGCUUUUUGACACACGGUCUCACUAUGCAGUUCAGGCUGGUCUUGAACUCACUAUGUAGCCCAGGCUGGCCUCAAACUCAUGGAGAUCCUCCUGCCUCAGCCUCCACAGUGCUGGGGACUAUAGGCAUGGGCCACCACACCCAGUUUGCUCUUAAUUUUAGAGUUUGUUUUCAGGAUGCUAUGAGUUGAAUUAUGUCCCCCUAAAAAGGAACCCUGAAGUCCUAAACCCUCAAAAUGUGACAAGAUGUGGACACAGAGGCAUCCAAAAUAAUAUCCGGUUAUGUGGCCCCUAAGUCCAUCUGACCAAGUCCUCAGGUGAGGGCAGCCACUGCGGAGGCCAGGUGGAUCCCAGGUGACCAUGGGGACAGAGAUGACGGGGAAGCUGCCAGGCUGAGAGCUGGAAAAGGGACACACGAGGCCACCUGCCUCUGCCCAGGCGGCGGUCAACUGGCUUCCCCAGCCAGGGCCAGGGGAAUCAGGCGGGCAGAAAGCGAGCGUCUCAGGCAGGCCUUUGCCUCCUCCAAACAGCACCCACUCGCUGCACGACUGUUCCCGAGGGCUGAGGUCCUAGCACCCCAAAUCGGCUAAAGCAUGUGCUUGCCACAGCCAAGCGCACUCACCUGAGGGCAGCCUGUGAGACUGCGAACAGGCUGGCGCACCUGCAAUCCCAGCUGCUCAGAGGCUGAGGCAGGCGGAUCCCAGGUCCGGGGUCAGCCGGGGGAAUUACUCUCCUUGGUCCUGACCCCGCCCGCCCAGGGUGCCAGGCGUC